AGACAGGGUUUCACCAUGUUUCCCAGGCUGGUCUCAAACUCCUGGACUCAAGGGAUUCACCUGCCUCGGCCUCUGAAAGUGCUAUAAAACAGCAACAAGGUGCUGAUUUGGGGGAGCAUCCAAGGGUGAGGUCUCAAUCUACGCCUUCAAGAAGCUCAUUAAGGAAGGCUGAUAUUUGCUAGUUAACUAUAAAUUAAAGCAGAAUUAAGUAAUGAUGUUAACAGAAUUACAAGCAAAGUGCAACUUCGGAGUUUGGCAAAGGGAACAAUUAAUGCCAACUAAGAACACUGGCGAAGGCUUCAUGGAUGAGGGGGCAUUUGAACUUGAUUUUGAGAGUGUGCCAAGGAUGGUUUCUCUGGUGAAAGAAACUGCAAGACCAAGGCCCUGAAAUGCAGAAAUUCAUUGUCUGUUCCAAGUCCUGUCUGGCUUUCAAUGUACUGUCCAUUUUCACCUUUUACUAUGUCUGUGACUGGGAUGCAGAGUUUAAAUGUUAAAUGUUCUUAAAUUUGUCCAUUGGUCAAUUUUGUUUCUCAAGUAGACAGUAAACUUAUUAGGGACAGAUAUGUCAUAGAAUUCUUUUGUAUUUUCCCCUGCUAAUCUCACAGUGUUAGUACAUAGAAACUUCUCAGCAAAUGCUUAUUGAUUGAUACAGGAACUUUUGCUGCUUGGAUAAUAUGUUUUAAUGUAGGAAAACUUAGAGUGCAACAGGAAAGCAGCAAUCAGGAAACUAUUAGAAUUUUAGAAUUCUCAAUUGUUUCAAAAAUAUUUUUGAACUUCGUUGUGAGUCUAGAGACCAACCACAAAACAAAACUCUAGAGUUGUCAAUAAGGAAUUUAUUUAUAUUUGACAUCAAUUGCCAAAAAAAGCCAUUUGAAAAGCACUUUCCUCUUGCUGAAAGUGCUCACAUGAAAGUAUUUAGAACUUAGAAGUUCUAAGAAGGAACAUUAGCAGAGCUAGAUGCUAUUAGAAACUGUGAUUGGUUCUAGGAUUCUAAAAACAAAAGGGCAUACUGUUUGCUGUUCUUCAAGUGGCAUUUAUUUCAGCAGUCUUUAUUGUGUGACUGGGUGGGCUCUUAGAAUCAUCCAGGCCAUCUACUUGACUGCCUAAGGAGAUGGCUGCCCUCAGAAUUGGACUUGUUUUAAUAGAGCAAACUUUCUAUUUAUUAGUUAUCAACUUUAGAAUUAAAAGCUCAGAUUCAACAAUUAACUCAUUAUCCCAAAUGCAUGCCACUUGUCAUGACUUCCUGUUGUAUGACCACUAUCCUAUACAAUGCAGGCAGUGCCUUCAUGCCUGAACCUAUCCUACUAAAUCAGUCAAAAGGGAACUCUGGUUUCUGCAAGAUUUCAGCAUGGAAGAGAAGAUCCUAAAAGAUGCACCUCUAUACCUGGAGAAGUGUUGAAGAAAAUCAUAUGCAUCUGGAAGUCCCUUGAGAAGAACAGAUUCUAGGGCAAUAAUAUGAGACCUCAUAAAGUAUAAAUCCUGGCAGACCAAUUUAAUUUUUCAGGGACAUUGUGGCAAGCCUGAUUGAUGGAGAGGAAGCCAAGGAUGUAAUCUGCCUUGACUUUGUGAACAUUUUAGGUUUAUACUCACAAGCACACCCAUCAGAAACAGAAAAUAAGCUGCUUCAGGGGCACAUAAGUUUGCAGUACUGAGAUGAAGGCACAGCUCUUUCACUGAGCUCUGGCUUUAUUUUUGCCAGGGAUGUUAGUUGAUCUCACUUCCAUGACAGUGUGGGGAGGUGAAGGAGAAGAGCUAUGCAGCACAGGUUGCUAUAAUGACCAGGGCAUCUUCUUCUACAAGGAAUAGGAGGGGAGCAGGACAUAAUAGCAAUACUUGUUGUUUGUGCAUUGCUCUUGACAUUUACAAAGCACAUUGCAUGAAAAAUGGAAAUUGGAAGGUGUGUGUGUGUGUGUGUGUGUGUGUGUGUGUGUAGGGGGCAUGAGGAGAGGCAGAAGCAGCACUGGUCCUUCGAAUUAAUUACCUUUCAACUCUUACAUCUUUAAUGAGCUUGUUUUCAGUGCCUAGCAAUGCUCUAUGCAAAGAAGACUGGAUUAAGCAAAGAAGUUCAAGCACUGUCCUUUUGAAGCAUGUUAUAGUAACUGAACUUGCUCAGUGGGAAGCUUUUUGCUUCAUAGGCAAAUCCCUGCACCAGAUUCAAUUGAGAUGAACUGAAGAAACUCACCUGUUGCCAUUCAUGUAGUGCCCACCCUGGAGAACUCAAAUUACCGAAAUUCGCCUCAGUUGGACCUAGAACUUUCUAUGUUGGUUGCCUGUUUUGGAUGGUACAUCCCUUAAGGAAAAGGACAAUGUUUUCUUCUGUCUUUGUGUUUCCAGAGUUUCCAAGCUUGGUUCCUAACAAAUAGUAUGGGCUCAGGAAAAGUUUUGGGGGCGAGAACAUGAGGCGGGGAGGGAGGCAAUGUGCUCAGGUCAUGAAGCUAAAGUGGGCCAGCCAGCUCCAAAGCUAGAUGUGGCAGAGGGAAAGGAAUUGUGGCAGGUGGGGCUCAGGUGUUGGCAAUAAACAGGCAGAUUCUAGCAGGGGUGAGAGUAAUGGGAGUAAGAAUUCAAUCUCAAAAAACAUUCUGCGAUCCUGACUGGGAGGGAGUAGCACAGAGGACAUGCGAAGGAGGAGGGUAAGCAGGUCCCGGUUUCUGCCAAUGACCUUGAACGGGCCUCUAGGAGGCUCUUCUGAAAGUGGCCCUGCCCCUCCUCCUGAUCAACAAGACUGCCCUUUGGAAUCUGCUGUUAACCAAGUCUAAAGUUAUCUUCUGCCCCCUUUCCCUGGCCUCCUUAUCUCUUGUAAUAUGUUCAUAAAGGCA
rnacentral:lncRNA from 1 species